AUGCAUUCAGAUCAAGUCAAGUUUGCAUUAUCAUUGCCUUCUGGUAAAAAUAAUCAAAAGAUAAAUGAAGUAGACAAGGUGGAAACAAACAAUGACAAAAAUAUAGUUUUAGAAGAAAAUCAUUUACAUGGAGAACUAUACUACAAUAGUGCAUUCCUGACUCAUAUCAAUAAUACUCAAUCUCUGAGACAGUCUGAGGAGCUUAUAAAACAAAAAAAUAUUUCAUUGCCAUUCUGUGGAAAUGUGCCUGAAAGAAGGAACCAUGCAGCACUUUAUAGGUCAAAACCUCAACCUAAUAUAAAUGAUUUGGAUAAAAAAUGUAUCUCGGAUAUGCAUCAUCACGGUAGCAGCAGCCAAACCAAUUACAUGAAUUUGCAGGGAAGUUCAAGUGGCUUGUCUCACAUUAUUCCUUCACCUCUUGAAUUUAACAGUGAAGGUAACAUAGAGUUUAAGUCAAUGCUGCUUAUUGACAAGACUAAACCUGAAGAAACCGUAUAUGAUGCUGAUAUGGAGUUGACUGCCAGUGAUGCAGGUGAGCUGCUCACAGUUACAUCAAAAGACAAAGAUAAGCUACAUCAAAAUAAAAACAAUAAUGCCAAUUCUGAUAAAAUAUUGGGAAAUUUCAGAAGAGUAAAAUAUUCUAAAAAUGAUAAAGAGAAAAUGAAAAGCAAGACUGAAGUCAGUUCAGAUUUGUAUGCAGAAGAAAGGCACACCAGGGCUGACAAGAGCAAAGUUUCAAAAAUUACUGAGUCACAAACGCAGCUAUUCCAAAGUCAGACAGAACAGCAACCUACGAAGAAAUCUUUACAGAAGCAGAAUUUGCCAAAUACUAAUGACUAUUAUGAAGCACAAAAUUGUCCAAGUAAAACUAGAGAUACUAGGACAUGCCUAAUUAAACUAGCACAUCCAAGAAAAAAAGAACAAGAGAAAAAUAAAGAAACUUUCUCAGAAACAUAUGAAGAAUUGGAAACCAAAAUAAAAGCAGACUCAGAUUCAUCUAAUAGCAAGAUCUCUUCUCAAGUUUAUUGUGCUGAAAGUUUACUGUUUCAGGAUAACACCUCUAAUGUAUUACCUUUACAGCAGGAAUUUCCAAGUGAAAAUGCAAAGCAUAUCAGACCACAAAUAAACAGGAAACCCCUUCAAAACCCUUCUAAAAUAAUCACAGCAAAAUGCUGUGGAGUGGAAAACGGGCAGUAUGGAGAAUAUGGUUCAAAAAUGUCUCAAACAGAGAGGUGCCAAGAUGACAGAAAGAAAAAACAAGACCAGAAGAAUACUAUAAAGAGUAAAUGCAAUAAAAAAGGUAGCCUUUUCCAGGAAGAUCUUUCCAAUUUGGAGCUCCAAGCUCUUGAUAACCCUAAAUUCCAUUCUUCCGUCAACCUCUGCAUGCUGAGAAACUCUGAAAUCUGGGGGAAAAAUAAUCAAGAUAAAGCACUGGAUGUUGGAAAAGCAGAGCAAAAGGUGGAUCGUAUUUCUAGAGAGACUUUUGAAAAGACUCUGGCACCUGGUCAUGGGAGAACAGCUUUUCAAGAUCUGACAAAUACCAGUGUAUGUUCUCAUGCUUCUUUACCUACAUGCCCUAAAGUUUUAGAAGAAAAUUCAGCAGCACCAGCUAGAGGAGGAAGACCCAAAAUUUGCUACAAAGAGCCCGGUCUAAGAUGCAAAUUAAGGCGUGGGGAUCCGUUUACAGAUACGCAAUUUCUGCAUUUCCCAGUUUAUAAAGUAAAAAAUAGAAGAAGUUUUAAAAGUAAAUCAAAAAUCAUUUGAAGAAGACAGGAGAAAUGCCUUUAUGAACAGUACUUCUAAAAUGGGUACUUUUUUUUCAGAAAGUAAAAAAAAAUAAAAAUGUAGUAUAGAAUGUUUACUUGGUUUUG
rnacentral:lncRNA from 1 species